rnacentral:lncRNA from 1 species
AACGGUCAAUUAGUUCAGGUUCCUUUCAUGACUAGGACAAAGAAACGCGAACUUAGUGCUUUUGAUGGUUUCAAAGUGUUGAAACUUCCCUAUAAACAAGGUGGGACUCAAAGUAGCGGUGAACCUUCCUUUUCCAUGUACAUAUACCUCCCAAAUGCGAAAGAUGGGUUGCCGGCACUGGUAGAGAGAGCUGGGUCAGAAUCUGGAUUCCUUGAUCGCUAUAUUCCAUAUCAAGAAAUUAAUGCUGGAAUGUUCUGGAUUCCGAAAUUCAAAUUUGAAUAUGAAAUAGAACUGUCAGAAGCUUUGAAGAGUUUAGGGCUGGCCUCGCCCUUCGACCCAAACGUAGGUCUGAUGCAGAUAGUGGAUAAUUUUAGGCCACUCUUUGUUUCGAAGAUAUAUCAUAAAUCCUUUAUUGAAGUAGAUGAAAGUGGAACUGAAGCUGCUGCUGCAACCGUUGCUGUCAUGCUUCUUGGAGGUUUUGCACCUUCAAGGCAGGAGUUUCGGAUUGACUUUGUUGCUGACCACCCAUUCUUGUAUGUCAUUAGAGAAGAUAAAACAGGAAUUGUGCAGUUUAUUGGUCAAGUACUGAAUCCAUCAGCUACUUGAACUGCUUCUAGCAAAGCUGUAUACAGGUACCUAAUCCUUCAGAAACUUAGAACUGCUGUUAAGC